AUUUCUCGGUUUACUUACAGCUUUAUUUACAUUUAUCGAAAUUAGAAAACGAAAUAGUUUUAUACUCAUCCAUUUCCAACAAGUUUCGAUUGACAAAUAGUGUUCAAUGUGACUAGAAAUAGAGCUUAAAUUUGUGGCAAAGCGGCCUUCAAUACGCAUUGAUUCACAGACAUUAUUCCAAAUGUAUUGUUUUGAUAGAUAAUGGAUCCGAGAAUGUGCAGAAAAAUCAGUAGUAGUGAAAGUCUUCCAGAUGCUGAAAAUGUGGAAUAUGAAGUCGCGAGCAUUAUCGCGCCGCAAGAGAGCGAGGAGAACCUGCUGGAGGGCAGCCCGGAGCUGCGCUCCGUCACCUGGCUGGACGACGACCAGAUCGAGGACCUAGAUCUUAAUUUAGACCAAACUAACCUAUUUUUUCAUAGAGUCGAUAGUGCAGAUAUAAUUUAUAGAAGUAAGAAGAAAAAAUGCAAAAUGGUGGGGAAAUACGUUAUGGGGGAUAUUUUAGGGGAGGGUUCGUACGGGAAAGUGAAAGAGAUGCUAGACUCUGAGUCGCUGUGCCGGCGCGCGGUGAAGAUCCUGAAGAAGCGCAAGCUCCGCAGGAUACCCAACGGAGAGCAGAACGUGCAGCGAGAGAUACAGCUGCUCCGGAUACUUAGACAUAAGAAUGUGAUAGAACUAGUCGAUGUUUUAUUUAAUGAUGAAAAACAGAAGAUGUACCUUGUCAUGGAGUUCUGUGUGGGUGUUCUACAGGACAUGUUAGAGUCAAGUCCGGGCAAAAAGUUCCCGCAGCAGCAGGCCCAUGACUACUUCACGCAGCUACUAGACGGCCUGGAGUACUUGCACGGACAGGGAGUCGUGCACAAGGACAUCAAGCCGGGGAACCUGCUGUUGACUCUCGACUCCACACUGAAGAUUACAGACUUUGGUGUUGCUGAGGCACUCGACAUGUUUUCACCGGAAGACACGUGCUACACCGGGCAGGGCUCCCCCGCCUUUCAGCCGCCCGAGAUCGCCAACGGCGCCGAAACCUUCUCCGGCUUCAAAGUCGACAUCUGGAGUAGCGGCGUCACAUUAUACAACAUGACCACAGGCCGCUACCCGUUCGAGGGUGACAACGUGUACCGACUGUUGGAAGCGAUCGGUCGCGGCGAGCCAGCGCCUCCGCCCGCCAACCUGGGGUCCACACUGCGGUCUCUACUCAUAGCCAUGCUGCAGCGAGAGCCGCAGCGGAGGCCUAGUGUUAAUGAGAUCAGGAGACACGCAUGGGUUCAAGCGACGCCGCCACUAGAGGCUGGCGAGCGAGCUGUGAGCCCGCGGUCGCGACGCUCCGACGACCUGCAUAACUCCACCGUGCUGCCCUACCUCGUGGAGCGGCACUACGGCUCACAGGACUACUUCACCGGCGACCUGCGCCACGGUACCUACCCUACCUCACAUACAGAUGCGAGCGAGCAGUGAACCCGACCGCUGCUCUGACGACCUGUCCACUCUACUAGUACCUCAGCAUAAAAAGCUUGGCGACGGUGGUUCCCGGACCCUAUCCACAGCUGAAUUAUCUGAGCAGUCAUCCCACAAGCAUCGCUGGCACUCCGCCUGCGGCCGUAUCCCUUCCUGCCGCCUCACGUGAUCCAACCGAUUACAACCAA
rnacentral:misc_RNA from 1 species